rnacentral:lncRNA from 1 species
ACUUUGUUUUUGGAGGUAGCCUGUGAUGCAGGGCAGAAAAGAGCUGAUGCCUUGGAGAGAGACUGGGAGAGGCUGGAGUUAAUAGAGGGUCCCAGGGUAUCCAAGAAGCUGUCAUCCAGGUCUUCUCCAAUGAAGCUACAACAACCCACAGAGCCAGCAGGGGAACCUACACCUUCGAUGUCAUAUAUGAGCAAACAGUCAUUAGAUGGGCGUCCUUCAUCUUCAUCUGCAUGGAGUGAAUAUGAUGAUUCUGUGAAGGUUUAUUGCAACAUGACUUUUUCAGCACAGCAACAGGAAAAUUUGACUCUGGGUCUGUUCUACAAAAUUAAAGUCGUGGGAUGCUCGUGAAUUAAGAAACAACCAAAAAUGCCAAAUAUUGAGACUCUUGAAAUCAAAUUAAGUAUGAUCUGAGAUUAAGAACUUCUGAGAAGAAUUUAAGCAUGAACAUAUAUAUUGACAUGAAGUCCACUUACAAUGAAGAAAGGAGUGACCUCUCGAUCAACUAUGGAUGUUAUAUUAAUUUCACCAGUUUUCUGAUUAAUGACAAAGAUCCCAUAUGGUGGCUGAUCAAUUCCUACUCCAGAGAUGCGGGUCUGUGCUUGCACUGGAGCUACAGAAGGAAACUCUUUGCCCUCUUAAGGAGUUUAUCAAUGUUGUCAUCAUGCAACUUUAAUCUUCAAUUUGUUUUAAAUGUAAAGUUUUCGAAGAAAGUAGAUUUAUUUAGGUGACAAGAGUUAUCUGGGUUUGAGUGGAAGCUCUGAAUUCUGAAAAUGGGAAGGGUGUAUUAGCAGAAAAGGAAGGAGACCACGCGAAUAAAUGGUUAUAGAAACCAGAACUCUUUCUUUGAAAUAAAAUAUUGUUUGGCUGUAAACAAAUC